CCACUGGGAAUGAAACUUCCUUGUGUGUGUGUAUGCAUAUAUAUAUAUAUAUGCAGCUUAAACUAGGGUGGAGGAGAAUCAUUUAAGUAAAGGUUGAGUAGAGCACUUUUGAGAUGAUGAUGAUAAUAUACAUUUUAUUUCUACUUUAUUUUAUAUAUAUGAAAAGUAAUGUUGCUGUGAUCUAUUUGACAGAAUGUUAUUUUCCCUUCUGUCCACCCCCAGUGGUUUUAGACCUGCUUUUUAAAUGUCUUAAUUAAAAGAACAUCUUGUCGCUUAGCAUGCAUUCAUGUACUUCAAGAUUAUAUUUAGAAAAAUUUGAAUUUAACUAUUGACUUAUUUAUAAAUGUUAGGAUUAAUGUGAUAGAUUUUACUUGCACGUUGUAUUUAAUUGCAGAAUUCUUAUUAUCUAUGUUGUUUUGUCUUUCUGAGCUGUGAUAUUACUGAAGUAUAUUGCUGUUGAGUUCUCCCAGUGUGUUAGCUUUGGAUGUUGAAUGAUAAUUGCAGGGAGUGACAAUCCUGAAUUAAUUUAAAUGCUAGGCAGUGUGAAUGGGACUUCAUGGAUUGCUUUCACUCUGGCCAGAUGUUAUUUUCUCACUGGAGAUCACUUGUGGCUGUAGGACUUCUCUCUACAUAACAAAACUUGCUACGGUGUGUAGGGACUUACUGAUAAAUCAGUCAAUUGCAUUAAUUAAUAUCUGCUAAUCAGAAACUAGACUCCAAAUUCUGCAACACGUGAGAUUUCUGCAAUGUGUUCAUAUAAAUGCUUGGGCAACUUUUGCAGACGUGAAUGUUUGGUUACUCAGAUUUCCUGCAAGACGUCCACAAAUGCUUUGCUGAAAGAUUAGAGAUGUUUUAAUUAGUAUUUUCCUUUUUUAAUUGUUAUUGUGUUGUCCUCAUCUUGUGACGUUUGCUGUGCACGUUAAAGGGGGUAUUCCCAUAGCAGAAUUGGGUCCUAUUUCAGUAAAUGAAAUGUUGCAUGUUAGGUUAAGCUUCAAAAGUCCUAGCUGGAGUGAAUCUCCCAAAUCCUUCUGUAUGUAGAGCCAUGCACUUCAGGUCUUUUCCCCCCUCUUUCUUCCUGUUUGAUAGACUGUGAGGGAAAGGAGAAACUGACUUUAAUGAAGCAGAGCAUAUAGGAAUGCACAGUUUAAGCACUUGAAUUUGGAGAGAAAAUGUUCUCCUCUAAUCUUUGCUAUAAUGGUUUGAGGUGUUCACCCAUGACUAUAUGAAACAAAAUUUGUGUAUUUAGAAAAAACUCAACUUGACUUUUUUUCUGAUGACCAUUUUAUUAUAGCAAGUUUGUGCUAUCACAAAGUUUCUAUUUUAGGAAUGAGAUAUCAGAUUUUUUCCUGUUUAAUUGAAAGAUGAUCAGUGUCAUUUCUCUCUUCCUUCCCUCUCCAUCCCCCUUAAAACAAAACAAAACCUUCGGUCCUUAAACAAAAGUGUCUUUGUUUUUACAUUUGUUUUAUGAAAUCGCUUAAAUCCUUUGGGAAAAGCUUUCCUCUCACAGGAAGAAGGGGGGGAAAAAAACCCUCCUAAAGCCAAAAACAGCAAGCCUGUUACCAGACAUCACAAUGUUUUGCUCUCUGAAUAGUAGCAGAUUGCAUAAAAGAAGCAAUUUCUCAUCUUAAUGAAUGAAAAAGUGCACUUGCAGAAAUGCACACAAAUAGGCAUAUGGUUUUCACUCAGCAAAUGUAAAAUCAGUAGCACUCAGGACAAAAACUUGCUGCAUACCUUUCUUGGGGCUUCUUUGGACUGUCACUGUUGGGAAUGGAACUUUAAAUCUGAUAUUUUAAAGCUCUGUGAGAUGGGAAAUCAACUGCUCCCUUCUGGCCUUUUUGUUGUGUGUUUUUUUUUUUUUUGUUACAGUAGGCAGAUGCAUGCAUUACCCUUUCCUGAUCUAGUUACCUGGCAAACAUGAACUAAGUGAGAGAAUGACCCAUAAAGACCAAGAACUAUAUGAAAUAUCACCCUGAUAAUCUGUCUGCAUGGGCUUUAUCCAGAAAAUAUACUAAGGAACAGGAGUGCUGAUGAGAUGGAACAAAAUUAUUGCAGCAUACUUACUCCCAAAUCUAAUAAAAAUGCAAAAUUGAGUCAGUGGCCUACUAUUUGCAAUCACCUGUAUUAUUAUGUGGGCUGGAGUGAUCAAGGAUGAAGGAAAAUUGUCCAAGUGAAUGCUGGAUGUGAAUGGAAAAAAUAAGGCCUCCCUUAAUGCCAGGAGAAACAGCUGUGUCCUCACGACUGGCUUGUCCAUAGUGUGAUGGUGAAUCCGCAUGUUGCUUCCUGGACUUAUUUUUAUAACCUAACCUUAUUGUGAAAGCUAUCUAAUAUUUGAAAAUCAAGUCGGCCAUUUUCGACAUUGAACCAGACUGAAGAGUGCUAGCAAUCCCCAUGAAGUCCUCCUUCAAUGAAGUGUAAUUUGGUACCAUAAUAUACUGAACUGAAGGAAGCAAUAGAAUAGUUCUGCGCUUAGUUCUUUUUACAUUGCAAUUUUGGAGUUGCAACAGUAGAUUUACCAUUGUUUCUUUAAUACCUUUCUCUUCUAAUUAUUAGGCGAUAUCUAGAACACUGAACUUUUGAAAUCCACUUUAAGCGUUAUUUUAAUAACUGGUAUGUUGGAGUGGAGAAAAUAUCCUCUUGUUCUUCUGUAGAGCAGUCACAUGGAUACAACUUUUUCCUUUAUUUGAAGCUGUUUUACAGAGUUAGAGUUGUGCAGAACUUCCUAGGCUGGUAUUUUUCUAAAGUCAAUGUCAGAACUUACUUUUUCAUACUUGCAAAAGAUUGCGGUCUCUGACAAUGAGAUAUAUACCUCACUUUAGUUCUGUUUAUCUUGUUCAUCGAGUCAAACAGCUCUUGCAGUUAUUAUCCAUGAUCAGCUAGCUCAUUGGCAUGACAAUUAAUCAAAGUAUGAAUGAGAAUAUAAGGAACUCUUGUGGUUGGUGCCCUACAAACUUCACUGGCACCUCUGGUGAGUGUUCACCAAGGAUAAGGAAGAGGCAUGGGUUGGAAAGGAUAUGAGGGAGGCAAUUACAGUGCUAGAGUAUGGCUGGGAUAGUUCUUGCUGCUGGUCUUCGUACCUCUGAAGGCUCCAGAGAAAAGAGGGAGUGUGCCAUUGGGUUGCUGACCAGCGUCUCUUUAACAUUAUCUUGUCUUUGAUCACAGGUUCACAGCCCUUGGCAGCUUGAAGUGUAGAACAACUUCUUUCCCGUUCUGAGAAAUUACAGAACGUACCUGUUUAAUUGCUCUCAAUUACAUGAUGGCUUUUGUUUUAACCAGGUCUUUUCUGACUUGGGAAGAAAAGGGAUGUAUUCUACAUGGAAACCCGUGUACAGCUUUUUCAGAUAGCUUAAAAAUGUGUUUCAAAACUGAUCUGAAUUAUAUAGUUGGUCUUCAGCCUGAGUAUGUAUGAAACGUACAGUGACAUAAAAUUAAGAUGUCUGGUUUAUGAUGUUGCCUACUUGUAAAAUACAACUAACUACUCACAAGGGAAGAUCCUCUUGGGGAUAAGAUUCAAAUUUAGUGCCUGCCUUUAUCAGUUAUUACUUUUCUGUUGUUAAUUUUCUCAUUUAGAUUUUUUCUUCUAAAACAAUCUAUAGGACAAGUAUUUAAACUAACCAUUAAUGCUUCAUUUUUGAUGUCUGUAGUGCUUUUACCUGUAUGCUAAUGUAUGUAGAUGAACAGGUCAGGACUACACCUAUAUAAUAAAUGUGCCUUAAUUUACUCCUAUGUACAUUCCAGGGUGUGGAUAUUUAAAUAAAAAGGGGUAAAAAAGAUGAGCUUGUGCCUGGUGCAGUAAUUGUAGCUGGUGACUGACACUUGUGAAGGGAGUGCAGCUAUCAAAAUAGGUGCCAUCUGAUGCCAGUUUUUUUUCUCGCCCUGACUUAAAGGCAGCUUGUAGAGGCACAUCAGUAGCAAGGCAGAGGCUGAGCGCCUGGUUGGGGCAGAGUCUUUCUGCAGUCCUCUGUUUGGUCUUGAUGGCAAGACAGGUGUGUUGGAUGUGUCCUUGUGGUGGGAUAAGCCUCAUGGCCAUGCUCCC